UGAUUUCAUAACUCUUUUCUGGACUAGGUUUGAAGGUUCUAUAGAUAAGGUAAAAAUGUUUGAAGUAUUUUUUUAGUUACUUGAAAAUAUAAAGGUCUAAAAAUCAAUGUUAUUAAAUUUCUUUGUCAAAAAUUGAUAAGAAAAGAGAGGCUAAAAGAUCCACUUAUGAAAGAUAUCUUUAAAAGGAAAUGAAUGCUUUUAAGGAAAUAGUGACAGAUUGUUCAAAAGAGAAUGGAACCGCCUGGUCCGACCAGUUGGAUUGAGAACCAGUCAAGUGAUCGGUCCACUUGAAAAAAAAACAACUAGAUCUCAGAGCUAGUGAGAACGGCAAUAACUGAGUCAAAGCCAGUGAAAACCAAUUCGUUGUUGGUCUCUUACACAACUUUUGCACUUCUUAAAGAAUAAUAAAUAAAUAAAUUUUGCUAGGGACUAUUGUCCAAUUUUACAUAAAUGAAAACAUGUUUUACUCUAAACAUUUUGUAGUUGUGGUUGAUCAAUAACUUGGAUAAAUAAUGCAUUUUGUUAAACAAUUGUAUAAAGAGAUUCUCCUCGUACGUAGUUUUUUUUUCCAUACUAUAUUGCUUCCGCAGUUUUAAUACGAGUAUGGUGAAUGUCAAAGAUUUUUCUAAAAGUAUGUCUCUUAAAGAUCAAACUUUCCACCUAAAAAUUCAAACAAUAGUUUUUAAUCAUUACAACCAACACACAUUGGACCUCAUCCAUAGUAUAUAAUAUUAAUAUACUAUAGAGGACUUUGAUAAGAACAUCAAGCUUAGACCUUAGACUUCCUUCACAAACCUACUCUCAAAUACUCAGUGCAAUAAUGGAACUUAUCUUGAAUUAUAAAGUCUACUAAGAUAAAUGAGCAUAUUUUAUUUUGUUCAUCUUCUUUUCUAUAUGCAUAUCCCAAGAUCACUUGCAACUUAUACAAAAUGGUUUUAUCAAGUUUUUGUUAGAAUGGACUAGUCACUUGGUUGCAAUGGAGUGCUAAUCUCACAUAAUGAAUGUUGAUCGUGAUAGUUACAAGUGAUUGUUUGAACCCUACAAUCGAAAAUUGAUUUUUAAGAAUCACACUCUUGAGAGAUAUUUGACAUUCAACACACUGAGUUGAAAUUGCGAAAGCAAUUUAAUAUAUAAAAAAAUGUAGUCAAAUCCCUUUUCAUUGAAUUGAUUUACUAUAAAGGAAAAUCGUAAUGAGAAUUAAUUUUUUUUUUCAUUCAGUUUGAAAGGCAUAGCCUUUAAACAUUGUUAUAUAUAUGAGAGGCACAAGCAAUGACACAAACAAAUCAACAGCUCACAUUACUUGGUGUUCUAUUUGGGUCAAAGGCUUAGGCUUAUGCCAGGCAAACGGCCAUAGGUCACCCCAGAUGACUUUUUUGGCCAUAGCAUGCAAAGUAGGGUUCUUGCUCCUGGUUACAACAAUACGGACAUAAGAACCCUCUGAGGCAUCUGGCUUGGUGGACCUGCACACAUUCAUUGUGACCUGUCUACCCCUCCUUACAGGCAUGAAGAUAAUUCUGCCCCAGCCACCUCCAAGAUCAGCACUACCUGUUUCCUCUUCCUCAAUCUCUUCAUCAUCAUCAGCAUCCCCAUCAGUUUCAACAGCAUCAGAAUCAUAAGUUACUGCACGUACUACUUCAUGAGGUACUACUUCAUGUGGAGCAUCAUCAGCACCCCCUUCAGUUUCAAUAGCAUCAGAAUCAUUAGUUACUGCAUCUACUACUUCAUGAGGAGCAUCGUCAGCUUGUUCCAACUUCAACCAGUCAUCUGAAAAAGUGAAGAGAAAUAAAUAAAAAAUGGAAAUGAAUAGUAUAAAGUCAGUCUCCAUGAUCCAUGAUGGCAUGACCACAGGUUCAAAUGCAAGCAGAUCAUACAUUUUGUUUAGAAAUAUUUUAACAGAAAACAAACAUGCACUAGUGCAAUUGUAUCAUCAAGUACCGUAGUCAAUUUCAAUAGCAUCCCAAUCAUUAGUUACUGCAUCUACUACUUCAUGAGGAGCAUCAUCAGCUUGUUCCAACUUCAACCAGUCAUCUGAAAAAGUGAAGAAAAAUAAAUAAAAAUUGGAAAUGAACAGUAUAUAGUCAGCCUCCAUGAUCCAUGACGGCAUGAGUGCAUGACCACAGGUUCAAAUGCAAGUAGACCAUACAUUUGUUUGGAAAUAUUUUAACAGAAAACAAACAUGCACUAUUGCAAUUGUAUCAUCAAGUACCGUAGUCAACUUCAAUAGCAUCAGAAUCAUUAGUUACUGCAUCUACUACUUCAUGAGGAGCAUCGUCAGCUUGUUGCAACUUCAACCAGUCCUCUGAAAAAGUGAAGAGAAAUAAAUAAAAAAUGGAAAUGAAUAGUUUAUAGUCAGUCUCCAUGAUCCAUGACCACAGGUUCAAAUGCAAGCAGACCAUAUAUUUUGUUUAGAAAUAUUUUGAACAGAAAACAAACAUGCAUUAGUGCAAUUGCAUCAUCAAGUACCGUAGUCAAUUUCAAGAUCUUCUGGAUUUCUUUUAGCAUGCUGUUCCUUCAGAGUCUCCAAUGUAAUACCAUCAAGAGGCCAAGAUUCUCUGGUCCAGGGGUUGAGCGAAAAAAAUCAAAAUUACAUACAAUGAAAGCAUAUAUGCCCUGAAGACAUGGACUGUGCCAUUCAAUGAUCAGUGAGGUAAGGAUCACAAGUGUUAUCUUCCAUUUCAACAGAAAAGAAAUCAUAAUAAAAAGUUUGGAGAAUGUUUGUAUUAUGACUUAUGAGUUACAUGUCCAUAGGCUUGUUAAGAUCUCAUGAAAAAGAACUCUCAAUAUUUUCUGUUAUUCUAUUUGAAAAUUGGUGAAGUUCAAACAUGAAAGGUUUAUGUACAACACUUGCCUUGGUCUUAGUCCUCGUCUUAAAACAACAUAGGAAAAUUUCUCAUCUUCAAAGCCACGUAAAGGCUCACCCUUUGAACGCUGCAAAAUCAUGAAAUUCAGAGCAGAAAUACAUUUGUUAUGUUAAUCCUUAUUGAACAAAGAGGAAAGUAGGAUUGUGGGGAACAUGACUCUUUCCAAUACAGAAAGUAAAAUAUGGAUUACAAAGAAACCUUGUAGGCACGUUGUGAUGAUGUCCUUUCCAAGCGCUGAACAAAAUGACAAUAUUUUCCAGAUUUUACCAGUGGACAAGUCCCAUCAUGGGGACACUGCAUUCAGAAAAUUUAUCAAACGAAUGAGAGAGGCAUUGAAAGAGAGAAUGAGAUUGACAAUCGUCUAAAUUGAAAAAGAUGUUGAGUAAAAAUGUAACGAACUUACAGGAGCAACUACAAAAGCACCAUCCUUCUUAGUUAUCAAAUCUUUACAAACUUCUUUGUUCUUUUGAGAAGAUUUACGGAACUUCUACAAAGAUAGCAAAUUCCAUCUUUGUAAGAAUUAAACAUCUGAAGAAAAUGGCACAACCAUGACUGGAAAAGACAAAAUACAAAGACUAUUUAUCAUUGGUCAGAAUUUCUUAAAAGAAGUAGUAAAUUUACUCUUUCUUCCAUCCAUAAUAUGUGAGAUCUCAUGUGAGCUAUAAUACUAGAUCCAUGAGGUGUUCCAGGUUCAACCAAAACCUACAAGAUUUUGAUUUGACAUACGGAAAUAACAUCAGAUGUAAGAUUUUGGCCGAGAUAAAACAAAAGCAAAAAGGUUUUUGUUGUGAAAAGAGAAAAAAAAAAGAGGAGAAGGGGGGGGGGGGGGGGGGGGAGAUAAAUUUAGGGAAUUCAAAAGUGCCCAAAAAAAUCUAUAAUUCAAAAAUGUUUCUGCUAUGCUCCUACCACUCCUUUUACUCCGCCAAUUACUUUGUUUUACUUUCCAAAACAGGUUACAUGAUAACAAUCUAAUAAAUGAUAUAAAUUAGUUAUAGACAAUCCUCUCUUCACAGGCCAACAAAAUAUAAGCUUGGAAUCAUACCAGAACAUCCUGUGUUAGAUCCCAAAGCUGGCGAACGAUGGUGAUUCGAUCCUUUAGUGAUGGAAUCUCUCCAAGAACAUAAGACUUCAGCCCAUGAAACACAUUGCAAGUAUUUAGCAUCAAUUUAAGAAACACACAGAAAAGCUUUAUAUGCCCACCAAUGUUUGAAAGAAAUAUAAAACAGAAGCAUGUUCCUUUCAGCAUUACAGGAAAGACAAAUCAGGUACAACUAAAUUAUGAGACUGAAUGAACAGAACAAACUUAGCUGAACUGUAUAGUUUGUUUCAAUUUCAAUUUAAAAAGUAAGGAAGAAAAUAGCAAAUGAGUCAAUUAUUAGAAGUUUCGAACACAUGAACCAUAUACAGAUAAAUAAUUCUCAUGUACAUGUUAAAUUUUAUGGCAGAGAUUAAAAAAAUAGUCAUGAAAAACAAAUAGAACUUCAAAUCCAUCUAACUUAGUUGCCUGUAAAUUAGAGUCUGAUGAAACACAAUAUACAUAAACUAACAAAUUUCACGUAAUUAAGUUGCAAACGGAGUGUAAACUUUUCAAUAAUUUUAAUUUUUGGGGGCUUACAUGAUGUAGUUAGAUAUUUAGAUUGACUAUCGGCUUUGGUUGAUAAGGAUGUUGCCAUAAAUGUAUUGUAUAUAACACGCAUAAUUCUUUUGAAUAUGAACAUUUUUAUUUUAGUAUAGUCCCUGGAGUCAAAACAGAUUAAUAUCCAAUAAGAUUCGAUUUUUUUAUUGAAGUAGACUAAUAUCAUAUUUUCCAACGCUUAUUAACAUGGUUGGCUUAUUUUGUACCUCUAGACUGCACAAACUGAAUUGAAGACAAACAACUUGUUGCUAAUAUAUGUAAAUCAUCGAAAAGAAUAAACUUACAGCAAUUACAAGGUCAUGCCCUCUCUCUGAUUUACUGGUACGUUUAGAAAGAGCUUGAAUGCUAUCAUAGCUUUGAAUAAGUGGCAAAUUCUUGAGACCUAUAUAAUCAAUAGCAGAAAAAAACUAAAAAAUUCAAAAACUAUUAAAUGCUUUCUCUCAGCUUUUCUCAGGCAUUUCAGCUUUUCAAUAAAUUCAACCCAAAGGGAGAAAUUUCCUGUAUAAAUUAAUGUAACAUAAAUAGAAUUAUGUGAGGGUUUUAUCGUAGGUAAGGACUAUUAACUCAUUGCAGUGGCCGCUAUGAAUUAGGCACACCAUCGCUAAAAAGAAGUAUUUCAGUUUUCUAGUGAAGAAUCAAACAUAGGGAAGCCUGUCAUCCUCUUUCUUAAACUUAAAAUAUUCUUGUAAUUAUUCACACAAGCUUCUCCUUUAAACAACUACAACCUUUUUCCUUUUUAAGUGUAUUGUCCGGCUCAAGAGAAAAUAUCUGUUCUAAGUUAGAUUAGUAUUACUUCCUCUAGCAACUGCUUGAAAACUGAAAUAGUAAGGGCCUCUAGCAACUAAUUGAUUAUGAAGGUUCUCUCAGUCAUCAACAGCCACAGAGAAAAUUAUCUAGGAACAAUUUAGCAACCAAUCUGCAGGUCCAACUGGCAGCAUCACUAUCACUUGUUACAUGGGCAGGCCCGUGCACAAAGCUCCCACAUACGCAGGGUCCAGGAAGGGUCCCACCAUUUGCUGAAUUGUACGCAGCCUUACCCUGUUUUUUACACAAGAGGUUGUUUCCAGGACUUGAACCCGUGACCUCAGUAACAUGACAGCAACGUUUUACCGCUGUGCCAAGGCUCCCCUUCUAUCACUUGUUAGAUGAUUAAAGAUAAUUAAUUCUUAAAAGGUUAAUUUCCCAACUCAAAUCACGCCUCAGCCAUGACUCACAAAAUCUUGAAUUACUCUGAUAAUUCCCAAGAUUUAAUUACCUACAUCAUUUCUUCAUAAUGCAGGAUAAACAAUCAAACCAAUCCCAAGUGAGACAUUUGCAAACGCCCAUAAAGGAUUUCAAUAAAACGGAACAUGAACCAUCAGCCAAAAACCUAUAUUACAAUGUAUGAAUAUUUUACCAAUGACACGACUGUAUUAGUUCAUCUUCAGUGCACCUGAGAGAUGUCACUCAAUAGCAAGACUACUACAGCACCCUCUGAAACAUGAUCGUGAUCAUAUUCCAUGGAUCAAUAGGUGCAUGACUCAGAAGAUCAAAAUUGCCAACCCAGAUAAGAACAAGAUAAUAAAUAUGAAAAAAAAACUAGAUAAAAAAAAAUAUCAAUUAUGAAAAGAGAAUACUACACUUUAAUUUUUAAUACAUUUAAGAGUAAAGUACACACACCCCCCUCAAGGUUUGUUAGAAUUACACUCCACCCCAUUCUUAUCUAAAAUCUACACCCCACUCCAUUUUAUAUAGAGGCAAAUUUAGUGACGAAAAAUAUUCUUCAUUAAUAAUUAGUUAUUAUUUAAAUUGUUGAUCAAUAAUUUAAAAAAAUAUUUUCAAUAUAAUCCAAUAAAUUUAAAAAUGAAAACAUCACAGUCCUCCUCAUUCUCUCAAUCGCGUUCUUACUCCGUAAAUUCAUAAUGCAAAUUCNNNNNNNNNNNNNNNNNNNNNNNNNNNNNNNNNNNNNNNNNNNNNNNNNNNNNNNNNNNNNNNNNNNNNNNNNNNNNNNNNNNNNNNNNNNNNNNNNNNNNNNNNNNNNNNNNNNNNNNNNNNNNNNNGUGGAUAUGCAUUAAAUUUAUUUAAAUUUUAACUAAUUAGUAAUUAUUUUUUAUUAGUGACGAAUUUGUUUUCGUCACUAAAUUUUGCCUUUAUAAAAAAUCGGGUGGAGUGUAGAUUUUAAAAAAGAAUGGGGUGGAGUGUCAUUCUUGUAAACCUUGAGGGGGGUGAGUGUAUUUUACUCUACAUUUAAAAUUCUACUCAGUAUUUUAGUAACUGUUUUUCAAGUCAGUUUAUAUCAUUUAAAUAUUGAAGAACAUAGCUUUCUUUUAUCUCUUCUGCAAUUUUGGAAGAAUUAUAGGAUUCAUUUCUGUAAUAUUAUGAUUGUUGAUCUUAUGGGGCAUUACUAAAACUACCGAACUUCUAAUCAAGUCUAAUACAAGACUUAAAUUUUAAGAAGGUGACCGAUUAAGUUUCCCAAGAGUACCAAGUACCGGCACUCGAAGAGUCAAAGUAGCAGAAAAUAACUGAAGCCCACACAUGAUGGCAUAUCUAGCCAUGGUGCACCCCGUCCUGAUGAUUAUAUAUGCCCUAUAAUGCAAAAGUUACUACCGAUUACUCAUCUCUGUAUGCAUUGAGACAUGGAGAGGUGCUCAUUUCUCAAGUCAAGCAUACAGACAAUUUUUUAGCACUUAAAAAACUACACCAAAUUCAGUAAUAAUAUCCUAGUCUAUCUAAGAAUGAUGUCAAAUGAUGAGGAAUUUUAGUAAGCAUAAGUGUCAAAGUACAGUUACUUUUCUUGAUUUCAACAUUGCUGUAAUGGUACAUUUCAGUGGACCCACUAAUUCCUUCAAACGUACAUAUCAAGUUAGGCUGUUCCUUUCUAGCGCUCUCCUAAAAAUUGAUACUCUUUAUCCUUUCGCACCUCAAUAUGAAAGCUAGAAAAGAAACAUAUCUUGUUUAGAAAAGCAUAUCAACAUUUACCUUGUAUGAGGUUCAGACCUGCACGUUGCAUUGACUGUGAUGGUUCAAUUAAAUUCACUUUCUUCAAAGACUUUGGCCAAACUUCUCGCAGUGCCCUACAUCAUUAGAUUUGAAAGGCAUCAAAUUAAUUCAAGAACAUUACUAAGACUUAUGAUAUUGAAGUUCGUUAUUCAACAGAAAAGGUUCAAGAGUCUUUACCAGAAAGCUGAACCAGUCCCAGCACCAAAAUCUAACACCUUGGCUGGGGAGAAACCAGGAAGCCUUCUACGAACCUGAAAAGACAUGAAAUAUAGAGUUCCAUCGAGAUUAAUUUCAAAUUCAUCAACGUUUUAUUCAGAUUGAAAGGCUUUCUGUUAUUAAUUAAAGUAAAAUGUUAAAGUCAAUUAGAUAAGUGGUUCACGCCUUAAAACUGAAUCAUAAAGUAGUUGAUACUACCCCCCCACAUGAUACUCUAAAUCCAUAUAAUAGGGAUGGACAAUCAUUGUUCAUUUCAGGUCCUCUGUUUGAUUCCAUUUAGACCUAAAAUCUACCACCACUGGCCUUGCUUCCAUAUGAAAAUCAGCUCUCUUCUGAUUACUAAAUCCAUCUCUUAAGAGCAAUUCAUGUAUCAAAUUCUCUUGAUAUUAGCGUCAACUUAAGCAAACCCUGCCUUUGAAGAAAUACUUUAUAUUAGAAUCCUAAUCUUUCCAUAUAUUCUUUGCAUGCACUUAACCAUCUUUACAAAUACAUUUCGCUAAAUCCUAAUCCUUUUAGUUUUAACAGGCUUCAUCUAUUAUUUUGCUGUCCAUUUCACCUUCUCAUGUCAGUUUUAACACCCAUAUUUAAUAUAGUACCCUCCCUUCUUUUAUUGAUAUUUUUUCCUUUAUUUUCCCUCUAUCUGGAUUAUGUUUCCCACCUACCUCUUUAAGUACUCUGUAACAAGCAGAGUAAACAGCAGGCAUUCGAGAAGCCACAUAAGCAUUUGUCUGUUCAUCACUGUACGUUAGACCUAUGUCACCGUAAGAGCUCUUAAUCUUCCAGCGCUUUGAUUGUUCAAGAGAUUUUAAAGGGUCUUCAACUAACUCCCUUGACGUGGUGGUUGCCAGUUGUAGAUUGACAUUCUUGAUAUCACUAAAAGAUUGGGACAAACUCAAGACUUUCCUCUUCAUAUAUGGCUCCUCCUGCUCUGUAAUCCCAAGACCACCAUCAACAAUUACAAUCACACAAAUACAAAUACAUAAAGAUAAUAUUGCAUAAAAUAAACACAGAAAAAAAAAAACAAAUGACCUCGAAGGUAUUUUUUAAUGGCACGGCGGAGACGGAUAGGGACAGUGAGACAACGUUGGGAUUGUUUGGCUGCAUGGCGGAUGGUUUCAGGGGUGACAAUUUUCUGUGCAGUUUCAACUAUUGUCUGGGUAGCCAUGCUGGCCCACAACGUAACAAAGCUCUCCUUGCGGUCCAAGUAACCAGGGUCCUCUAUCACUAUAAAUUAGUACGUCAGCAAUAGAUUUUAAAAGGAAAAAUGAAAAUAAUCUAAUCCAGGCACCUAGCAGGCUAGCACCAACAAACACAGUUUAUUUUCAUCAUGUGUGCAUAUCAUCAAACAGAUGGUGUGCAGAGACAAUUUACACUUCAUUUUCAUAGCUUCAUAUUUCAUUUUUUGGCAAACCAAAAACCCAUAUCCGAAAACCCUUGGGUUUCUAACAUUGACUUGUUUACAGCAUCAGAAUUUGAUUUUUCUCUCAGAAACCAAUGGAAAAACAACGGGGAAGGGACGAAGGGUUCACUAAGCAGAUAUGGUAAAGCUCGGAAGAGAAGAAAUGAAGGUUACCUUCUUCAGUCUGCGGAAUGAGAAGCACGGCACGCGACGUGAAGGCGAAGCCCCAUGAACUCGAAGCAAAACUUGCUAGCGAGUGCUACCGGUAAUAAACCCCUCUUAAGCCCUGUUUUCUAAGCAUUCUUUUCUAGUUCUUUUUUUCAUCCUCAUUUUUGUCACAUUAUUAAAUGUUUGAAAAAUGAUAGAAAUACACUAUUUUAAACGCAUUCCUCCACAUGAAAAACACACUCCUAAUACACUUCACUGUAAUUCCAAUUAAAUCUUUAAUCAUAUGGAUGGAUGGAUCGAUGACAAAAAUAAAAGAGAUUAAUUUCAAAUUGAAGCUGUGAAGUAAAUGAGAAAUAUUAUAUUUUGAGAAAAAUGAUGAUGCACCGACGGUGUAAGAUUUUAAAGAUGUGCCACGUCAAUUAAUGAAAUUAAAUAAAAUGAGAGAUUUUCUCACAUCCUUGAAAUCUGAUUGGUUGACGGUGUGUGCAUAGAAAUUAAACUCUUUUCUAUUUUAGAUAUUAUUAAAUUCAAAAUUAAUUGUGAGCUAACAAAAUGGAGGGAUGUGAUUGAAUGAUGGUGUAAAACUUAUUUACACCGUCGGUGCAUAGAAAUUAAUCUCAAAAUAAAAUCUUGAAUGGUGAUUUGCUACGAUAAGUCUAUAUAGUUAGAAAUUAGGCUAAUGUAUGCUGAUUUACGCUUGAAUGAAAUAACUCAUUUUGCGGGGACGAAAGUGCUAGAUUUGUGAAGAAAAAAAAACCUUUAACAUUUUACUUUAUUAUGUCAUUUGUGACAAGAUUGCGACUAUGAUCAAAAUUAAUAGCGAGAGGUCACUCUCUGUUUUCAGUUUUCGUUCACUUCUUAUUACUCACGCCAUGUUUUGAUUUUUUUUAUGUUUUAGGAUUUGUAGUACAAAGGAAGAAUGAGACCGGUAAGAAAUCUGACAGAUCUACCCCUGUCGUUUUGAAACUCAACUUGCAUUGUGUUAGAUGUAUACUGCAGCUAGAGCUAGUGAAUUAAUAUUACCUGAGCUAUUGUACACAUGUGAUAUGUUAGGGCUUUGUUAUUGACAGUUGUCAUUGAUAGUCAGUCGUUAUCCAAUUCGAAUACCAGAUAGAAGAAGAACCACUACCAAGGCGAAAUGAAUAAUCCAUCUCGGAGCAUCCCAAACCUUCAAAACGCCUUUCCAAAAAGGAGAGCUGCUCCGAGUAGCUGUAACAAAUAAAAUGCUUAAUGAGCAAGGUACUCAUGAGAUAACACCUGCGCCCAGAGCUUCCAAUCUUGCUGCAAUAGACUCCAAACCACUUUAUCGAGCAUGGCAGUAUUCGCAAUAACCGCGUCACAUACGCCAAGUCCCCCGCUUGGUGAAAUUUUGAAAUUGGAGAAUCUAGGAAAAAUUAACACAAAUUUUAAUAAGUGAGAUAAAUAUAUUGAAUACUCCAAUCAAAAGAAAUGUAUGUUUUUUUUUAAGUAAACAACAAAUGCAUUAAACCAAAACAGGCAUUCGGGCAACAAAGUCCAGAGUCUACAUAAGUAAGAACAGCAGAGGGAACCUCUUCCACCCACACUGAAUUAGCAUAAAUAGAAGCGUUCCGUGGUAAGAGAUGUAUGUGAGUGAGAUGAGUGUAUAAAAAAAAGUGUGUGGGUUGCCCUCAUAUUAUAUUUAUUGAUUUUAUAAUAAUAAUUAUUAUUAUUAUAUUUUCUAUAACUAAUAAAUUAGAAAUAGAGGUCCUGGUCUCAGAGUGAACAGUCCAUUCCUUCCUGGUCGACCCUAACCCCCUCGGCCCCUCCUACCACAACACGCCACUCCUCAGCCCACCGUCGCCGUGGUCUGGUGCUCCCCCGCCGUCGGUGAAAGUAUUUUAUUUGUAUUUUGUCCCUUUCCUUCCUGAGCCAUGUCCUUCAUGGUUUAGUGGUUCAACGGCGAGGAGAAGUGCUUCUGAAAGAAGCUACUGAGUAGCUUUUGUGAAGUAGAAGCGAUUCUGAAAAAUUUCAACAUAUAUCAAACAUGUCAAUGUAGUUGAGCUUAACAACAGUUUCCUCAUCACACCUAAAGAGGAACGAAGAAUGAGCAAAAGACCACCACCUGAUCCCGUGGCAGUGCUACGAGGCCACCGUGCUUCCGUCACGGACAUUUGUUUUCACCCCUUUAAGCCCAUCCUAUUCUCCGGGUAUUCACUGCAACCAUUUGUUCAUAGUAUCCAUCAAGCAUUUUCAUUCUCUAGUUAUUUGUAUUAGAAUUUUCAAUCCUUAUGGUGAAAUCAACAUUCAAUAAAUUAUUGAUAACAUGCUCUUCUUAGCUGGUUUAGUUGGUUGUAUGUGCAAUGAGUUUCAGUUAAUAAUUGGUUGUUGCAUGCUCUACUUGCUUGCAGUUCUGUUGAUGGUGAACUGCGGAUUUGGGAUACCCUUAAGUAUCAAACAGUGUCAUCAGCAUGGUGAUCAUUUCUACUUGUUUCGCGCACUUUCUUGUUUGCGACGAAUCUGACUGUUUUUCAGGAUUCAUGACUGUGAUGUAAAUUAUUCUGUACUGCAGGUUACAUAGUGCUGCCCAUGGGAUUGUUGCUGUUGCCAGUAGUUCUUUGCUCGGAACCAAUAAAUUUGUCAGGUGCAUCCUUUGUUCUUGAUCUUCCUCCUCUCUUUAUUAGUACAUUGUUCUCGCUCGAAUGAAAUUCAAUUAGGUUCGAUAUGCUUGUAGCCAGGGUAGGGAUGGAACUGUGAAAGUAUGGGAUUUUGAUGAAGCUGGUUUGUCCAGGUACGCGUCUGUAUUUUAAAAACGUCUCAUCUUAUAUAAGCUGGUUUGUUCAAUUUAACACAUGUUUCAUUUUUUUUUUGAAAGGAUAGAGUGUUUUUUGGUACAAACUACAGAGUACAGACAUAUUCUUAAUUAUCAUCUUACUUUUUUUUAUCUGCAUCUCCCCCAGGAAUCCAUUACUUACAAUCAAGACAAACACUUACCACUUUUGCAAAUUUUCCUUAGUUAAGAAUCAUCGCCCUUUGUUGAAAGAGGGGGAAGCAUCAAACAGUUGCCUUAGAACAGAGCUAGGUGGAAUGUCUGAUAAAGAAAAUCUGGAGUUUAAGAGUGAAGAGGCUUCUACAGAUCAAAGUUGUUCUGACAGCUUUGGAGGUUUGUAAGUUAUAGUCUAAACUACGUGUUUUAAUAAAUUUUGAACUUAUGGUGACAAUAUUGCUGUUUUGGAACCUGAUAUUGGACUUAAGCACUCCUAGUCCGACUACUUUUUGAGUUUUACAAUGUUAUAACGCAUCAUUGAACUAUGAUUUUUGUACUGACUGACAUAAGGAAUUUGGUAGUGUUGCUUGUUGUGCUGGAAAGUUUUAUGUGGAAUCCUAGAAAUCUUUCACAACCCUAGCUGCCUUCUGAGCAUCACCACACCAUGCAUAUCCUGGCUAUUUCUGGAAUAUUUAUCUCUAGUGGCAAGUGGCAAAUCAACGGCAAAAUUUAGGGAAUAGCUAUAUCUUGCUACGAGGGAUCUGAACAUAUUUAUUACUACUACUGCUAUUAUUAUCUUUUAUGCAUCAAAGAAUAUGGGUUGACAUCAUCCUAGAUUUCUCAAACUUCAUAAGCUUUUGGAGGUCUGGACUGAUAAUGGAAACUUGAGUUUUGUUUAAUUUACCUAUUUGAUUUCUUUUGGAAAAAGGUUCUCGAGUCUUCUACCUUAUUAAUAAAAACUACACAAGCUAUUUCACUCUGGAGGGUCUGCCUUGAUGGACCGAAUUCCUCAUUUUAUAGCUCUCUAUUGUUUCUUUUCAUAUUUUUCAAAUGUUUUACUUUAUGUUACUUUAUGUUUCAUAUUGUUUUAGUUGUGAGAUUGAUGAAAUAUCGUUGCAUUCACAGAAAAUUCGUAUGGUGAAGGGCCACUAUAUGUGGCUUUGUCAGGGGAGAAUUCUUCUGAGGUAGGUGUACCUUUCUGAUCAUCAUCUGUAUUUUGUCAACACAUUUCAUGGCCAAGUCAUGAAGCCAAAUGCUCAUGAAUUCUUUCUUUUUGAAGGUUGAAAUUUGGGAUCUCAAGUCAGCUGAAAGAUUUGUAAGACUUCCUACAAAAAAUCCUAAUGACUCUUCAAGUGCUUGCAACAAAGAUAGAGGUAUGUUUCUGGUCUGUAUGACUUUUUGAGAUUCAACUGCGUGAUAUAUUAGCACAAUAGUGGCAUCUUGGUCUCGUGGCCACUACUAAACUCUGGUCAUGGAGAAUUUUCAUCUUGCACUGCACAAUUCGAGACCAAACUCACAUCCAUUUGUGCCCCCUCUGCGCUGCAGCUGCUAUUGGUUAAUGGAGGGUUAGGCCUCAUUUGGCCUCUUAUUGUCUUGCUUUUCCACCCUAAUUUUAUGACAUUUUCCUGACAUAUUUGGGCAUUAAAAAUUUGGAAAACCACCUCCAAUAAUUUCUGAAUGCUAUUCACUUAAGGAGCAAGUCUCUGUUUGUCUCUUAUACCUUUACAAGAUUGAACCUGUUGAUUGCCGGCGGUAUUUCCAGCCAUCCUCAGCAUAUUUUAGCACUUUUACUGGUCGCUGAUAUCUGCUACACGACCUUAACCAUGCACUUACUUCCUAGUUGCUACUAACUCAUUGUUCACCCGCCCCCGUUUCAGUUUUCAGCUGUGUUUGUCUAUUAUCACUCUCUGUUCUGCUACUCAAGCUCAUCCAUUCUGUUUUUUAAGAAUUUGACUAGCUCAUUUGGAUCAUGUCUUUAAAUUUGGGUAUUUUUGGGGAGCAUUCAUGUGUAUAUUGCAUAAAUCAUCGUUGAUAUAGCCACGAUCCCGCUAUAUCCCUUUGUUGGUUGGCUGCUCCGCACAGCUGUUUGAGAUUAAUAACUAUGGUGUGUUUGUAUGUGGACAUAUGUGUAUGCAUCUAUGGUUCUCACUUUAUCCUUUGAGUUGACUGUCCAUUACACUUUGCAUUAUCACUUGAGAAAGUAACAAGCACCGAGCCUUUUUAUUGAUUCUCACAUUUUUUCCUCGUAUUAAUGCACUUUUGACGUCUUUCUUCUUUUAAAACAUUAUGUUUCUUUUAAUUAAUAACUAAUGCUUUACUAGAUUUCCCAUUCCUUAGUUAUAUUUUUUCUCUCUGAAAUUAAAGUAAUCAUUUUUUGUCAGGGAUGUGCAUGGCACUUCAAUUAUUUUCACCAUCUGAAUCGCAAGGAUUUUUGAAUGUCUUGGCUGGGUAUAGUUUUGAUCCUCUUCUCUCUCUCUCUCUCUCUCUCUCUCUAAUAAAGUUCAAAGGAUGUCUCAUUAUGGAGACAUAUGAAUGAACUUAUGUUAUAUUUCUGACACGCCCCCUCAUGCUAGAGCUCAUUAGGCUUGAAACACGGACAAUGCACAUAUUCACAUACCUUAUGCUGAAAUUGAACUUUUUUAUUAAAAUAAUAGUGGCAACAAGGAUUGAACUCCAUACUACAUGGUUAUAAAGGCACUGAUACGAUAUCAAGAAUAAACUAUUUUAGAAGUUUAAGUUGUCGAGUUAAAAUGAUUUUAUAUUAUGUUUCUAAUGAAGUUCACAAUAUGGAUUAGUUUCUUUGUCUUAUAUUUGCAUGCUUUCUACUUCUACCAAGAGCUUUAAAUUUAGCUUGUGGGGAAGUUUUAGAGUGUACAGAAUAUCCUUCUUUAUUUGUUAAGUUGCCUUAUUGUUAUUGGGUUUAAGCUUGUUAUAAUAAUAAUGGUGCUUGACCUAAUAAGUAGUAUUAUCAAUAAGAGUAUUAAUUUAAGCUAUCAACUAUCUCAUCAUAUCCUACAUUCUGAUUGUUGUAGAUAUGAGGACGGUUCCAUGCUUUGGUGGGAUGUACGAAAUCCUGGAGUUCCAGUACGUUCAGUAAAAUUUCAUUCUGAGCCAGGUAUGGAAGUCAGUUUCCUUAGGUUUCUUAUCAAUUUCUAAAUAAAUAUGUAUCUGAUAGCUGAUCUUUUUUUGUAGUUCUAAGCGUCUGUAUUGAAGGGUCUUGCAAGGGGGGUAUCUCAGGAGCUGCAGAUGAGAAGAUUGUAAUGUACAGCUUGGAUCAUUCUUUGGUAACUCCAUUUACUUUUAUUUUCUUAUUCCACUGAAACAUCUCCUGCUCCUAUAAAUUGUUAUUUUAUUCUUAAUCUCUUAUUACCUUCAUGUAUUAAGAAGCACAACCAUUUGAAUAAACUAUUAGGCUUCUAGUAACUAAUAGAAUGUGUAGCAUUGGGUUAGCGUCCCUGUUUCAAUAAUCAAAGUUGGUCUCUCUGUGGUUUCCUUAUUUGCAUGGUACGUUGAUAUACAAAGCAACUGUGUUUUGUUCUCUUACCCUUUCAGCUAGUUAGUUAAUAUUUGAUGUUUUUAUGGAUUAAAAUGGCGUUCCCUAAAAGAUGAUAAAUUCAUUAAUAUAAAUGUAGAUAUCCAUAGGUGGUUGUAAUUGGAGAGCUACCCACUGGUCAAUGACUACAUUAAUGAACAUAUACUAGGUCAUGCACAUGAUUGCUCUGAAAAACCUUUUUAUCACUCAGAAGCUAUUAGUAAUAACACAAAAAUGGAAGCUUUCACUUGGAUCUUAGAUCAUUCAUUUUGUUAACAGGUUGUUUUCCACCUUCAAACAUGCAGAAUUUCUGCUAGUAUAUAGAGAGUAAUAUAUAUGUAGUAAGUAAAUUACUUGUAAGUUUUACGUGAUAACACAACUUAAAUUAUAUAGAAUUAUGGAUUUUCUGUUGCAUUUAGUUGACAUGACUGAUAUCUGAGUAAGUAUAAUCGUUUGAAUUGAUUAUACUAUAUUGUAUGGAAAAAAAAAUUAUGAUGGUUUUUCAGGCUGCAGCUCAAUGCUUACUAUGCCCUUUCACUGCUUUAUUUUCUGAUUCAUGUUUUUGACUUAAGGGUACAUGUGUGGUCAAUAAAGAAAUCAAAUUGGAGCGACCGGGCAUCUCAGGCACCUCAAUUCGGCCUGAUGGAAAAAUUGCUGCAACUGCUGGCUGGGACCACAGGUUUUCAAAUGCAUUAAUACCCCCUUCUUUCCAAAGAAAACAAAACAUAUCUUACAAUUUUACAUGUCUAGAUUUCAUUUAAUCAGAACUAAGUUGCUGUUUAUAUUCAAGUUUUAGGUCUCAUCCAAUCUAAUGGCAGAAACAUGUAAAAUGUUGUCUGCUAUCUGUUGAAGAACUUCGAUUAGUUGGAUUAGGUGCGUUGCUUUGAAGUGAGCUGAAUCAGAACUGUCAAAUGUAAACUGGAGUUAUAUUAGUCACAGCUGCAUCAAAUAAAUUUAAUAUGACUGUUGAGGAGAAGCUAUAAUUGUAGCUUCUGAACUCACCGUGUUCUGGAUUAUGUUUCACUACCAAUUCAAACACACCAAUUAUGUAGUAUGCAUAUUAUUCUAUAUAGGCAACACCGUUAUGAUGUUCAUUGGUACAAAUUAAUAUCUGUGUCACUUUUGUUUGCAGAGUAAGGAUAUAUAAUUACCGCAAAGGAAAUGCUUUGGCUAUACUGAAAUAUCAUCAUGCCACGGUAAGUCACAGUUUUCUAUAUCUAAUGCAGUCUGAAUAUGUUAAUUAAAAUAUCAUUAUUGAUUUGAAAACAAACACUCUAUUAUGAUAAGUAAUAAUUUAUUUGAUGUUAUUUGACACAUUUAUGUUGCAGUGUAAUGCUGUUACUUUCUCAUCUGAUUGUAAGCUUAUGGCCUCUGCAUCAGAAGACACGACUGUGGCAUUGUGGGAACUAUAUCCUCCUCGACAAUGAAAUGAAUCUAUUUCAUUAAACCUGUUCAAUGCCCGUAGUUGUCUGUAAUUUAUCUUUCUUAAAUCAAUGCUUAUAAGGUGUAUUUUUUGUGUCAAUCUGAUGACGCAUCAAAAGAUUUUUUUUUUGUCAAAAUAAAUAGUUGCUAAUUUAUGUUAAUGAGUAUAAAAUACAUUAAAAUAUUUUUUCUCACUUAACUACAGAGUAAGUUCAAAAAAAAAACUACAUAGUAAAACAAAAAUGUCCUUAGUUACCACACUCAUAUUCACUUUUUUUACGUCCAAGAUUGAGAUUAAACAUGGCAUAUAUUUCAACACUAGUGCAUUUUAAAAUGAGUGGCAUCUUAUUUGCACCUUGGAAGUAUAAACUUUAUGGGGUCAGGCUGAUAGUUGCUUACAUUGAGCCUCCUUUCUUUUGGACCACUACUAAGUAUACAAUAAUGCACAAUUAUAUAAAGAUGACAAGUGAUUUAGUCCCUAAACGUUUUUCUUUUCCAGAGACGUAUUGUGUUAUACAACUAAACAAUGCCUUUCUUUUCUCUAGAACUUUUAGAAUUUGGACUAGUUCUAACUAAAAAAAAUACACUAGCUCGGCAAGGUUAGGAUUAAUAGUUUUUAUACGUUGUUAGCUUUAUCUCUAGUGGAUGCAAGAUCUCAACAUAAUCAGUCAAUCUCUUCUCUGGAACGGACAUCUGAAGUGUGGAGUUAAUAUUAAUUUUUAUUGUUCUAAAUAUUUGUGAGGCAAGUUUUUUCCCUGAUAGUUAGUAAGAUUAAGGUAAAAGUUAAGGUAAACGACACUUACUUAAUAAGGGACCCAAACCCAAAAGAGCACCAAAACAUAGCAGACAUACACUCUAACUGUCCAAGCUAACAUGUUGUAAAACCACCCAUGAAACAUGACGGUAACUCAUAGGGAUGGCAACGGGUUGGGUCGGGCUUGGGUUUUGCCUAUCCCAAACUCAAACCCAAACCCAAACCCAAUCUCUCAUAUAAAUCUAAACCCAAACCUGUCCGGUUUUGGGUUUACCCAAACCCGUUGUAGCCCUCAAAUUCACGUUAAACCUAAAUUAAUGUAUAAAUUUUUUUGUAAAAUAAAAUGCAACUUGUAUUAUUUUGUUGUGAAAAAACAUUUUAUAUCUUUUUUGUCAAAAAAUAUGAUACUUUAAUGUUCAAAUUUGAUCAAAUUGUUAACAAAUUAAGUUGUUAACCUGAUAUGUAAGAGUAGUUUUGCAAUUUUAUAUAUAAUGUCCGGGUUCGGGUGCGAGUUUCACCAAUACCAAACCCAAACCCAAACCCAAUCAUAUCGGGUUUUACCCGUAAAAUCGGGUUUGGGUUCGGGCGGACCCACGAGUUCGGGUUCCGUUGCCAUCCCUAAAACCCAACAACAAAGAGUGAAAAAAUAAUAAACCAUCAUUAACCAUACAUUAAUAAAAAUUAAAAUACAAAGGCAAAUUUAAUGCUCCAAAUCUUCAACUCGUACCUUACAAAUUUACUCAUUUUGCCAAAUAGAUAUAAGUUAACAUUAGAUAGCUCUGCUAGUAUGCUUCAUAGAAACACAGUAACAAGUAACACACUAUUACAAUUGUGCAUUGCAUUCUAACCUUCAGAGGAGAUAGUGCAAACAGUGGUAAUAUGCGGUGGCUGGUGAACGGAGGCUUCGGCAGUGGCGGUGCGAGUCGUGCGACAGAGGCAAGGGAUUUCAGUGGUCGCCAGGACAGUGGAGGAGGGAAGAAGAGAGAAAAACUCACAAUAGAAGGGAAAAAGUCCACUCAUUUGGGUAGCAAAUUCAUCUGUUGUGGAAGAGAACCCACCUAAUGUAGGAAAAACACCUACCAAGUCGAAGGAAAGUCCUCCCUAGAGGAGGGAGAGAACCCCCAAAGGGAGGUGGCGGAGGACCCUCUGCUUUUCGCUCCCGCUCUGCUAGGGCACACUCUUGUAGUCUUCCUACAACCAUGGCCAUGUUGAUUGCACUAGCGGAGUCCUGAGCCCAAAUUGAUUUUUAAGACAACAUUGGGUGGCCCAAUAUUUUGAUCUAAGACAGACUCGAGUAUCACCUUAAAUUUAAGUUGAAUCUAACUCAAACUCAAAAGCUUGUAUGGUGAAGAUUGCCAAAGUCUUUAAAAGCUAUUAGCCUUAUAUACCGUCGAUGUGGGAUCUCAACAAGCACACACGUGAGGCAAUUAUACUCGAGCCGUAAACACUGUACAUCUUGGUAGAAUUAGUUCUCUUCAUGAAAUUUUUCUAUACACAAGACAUGAAUAUAAAAUUUUGCUUAAUUAAGGAAAAUAAAACAUGCACCAUGUGCAUCAAGUGGUUUCUAAACGAUGCUGUAAUACUUGUUUUCAUGGGUUAGCCACACAAAAAAUCAUUAAUUUCACAUUUGUGGGACUGAUUGCUUUUAGAAUUCCAAAUAUAGGAUGCCUUGACCAAAUAGAUGAGAAAACUUGUGGGAUGUGUUUCCCUUUACAGUGUGGCUUUGCUAGCAAAGGCACCACCGAAAGAUAGAGACCUCACCUCAUCAACCAUUUGCUUUGUACUAUAAUGGCAAUGCACGCCAUAAAACAUAUUUGCAAAUGCUUAGCCAAACAUAUGACAUGUUGUCAUCUAUUUCUUUGCCAACAAGAUUUAUGGCCUCUAAAGAUCGAUUUAAAACUCAUCCCCAAGUGUAAAGAUUAGCAUUUAACAAAUCCAAAUUAAGAUUGAGACAGCACAACUAAACAUUUCUAUGGUCAUUUUAUCAUCGAAUAUGGAUUGGUUGGAAGUUGGAAUUUAAACCGUGGAAGAUAUAUAAGAAACUUUAAGCUCUUCAUAAUAUGUUUUUGCUAAUCGGGAUUCAGGAUACAUAUUUUCCUUUGUUGUUAACUAGUUAAUUCUACAAAAUAAUCAUGAGCUUGUCACAAUGUUAGUUUUCAACAAUAACUCAGCAUACAAAUUGGUUUGAGGGUCAUCCUAAAUAUGUAAAGUACUUGUAUUAAUCAGAAGAGAUGACAACUCGAUGAAUCAAAGCAUAUAUAAAACAUGCAUGUGCUCUAACUUCAAACAUCUUAUGGUAACAGUACUUUUGAAUAAUCAAUUAAGUUUCUAUAGCCUUCAUUACGCAAUCACUUUUAUCGAUUGAUUUGUUUGCUUUACGUAUUUGCUUUUAGCAGUUUUUUAAUCAGGUGAUUUAUUUGUUCUCAUUAAUCGCUUCAAUUAACACCGCCGACACCUCCAUUAGUGCCAUAUAUCAACUUAGUCACCCGUAAAUUCCCUUCAUUGGACAAUGUCAACCCUGUGAACUAAGAUUGAAGAUUAUUUUAAUUUUUAGUCCGGUAAAAUUGAGGUGAAUUGGAUCUGGUUAAUCUGAAAAAAUUAUAACGUUUACUCCCUAAUAUUAUUGAAAUUGGUAAAAUUAAUCAGUGCCGUACUUUCUUUUUUUACUGUUUUUAUGUAUUAGCGGCGAUUUUAACCACCCAAAUUAUACAUUCUUGGUUUCAGUGACGGAUCCAGAAGUUCGAUGUUGUUAGAACAAUAUAUACAUAUAAAUGCGUAUAAAAAAAUUUAAUAUAUAAGAUUAGAAGUGAGUGCAUUUUUUACCAAUUGGGGCACAAGUGAUAACAUUUUUUUACCAAAGAGGUCAUAAAAAAUCACAUACUUUUACUACUCAAGUGAAGACAUUUAGCAAUGUGGAAUACAAGUGAUGACAUUAUUUUACCAAAAGAGCCAUAAAAAACCACAUACUUUUACUAUUCAAUUUUUUUAAUAAUUUUUUUUUUAAAAUCAAGUGAGGGCAUGUGCCCUCAUGGUGCUACAUGCAUCCGUCACUGCUUGGUUUUAGUGGCAAUUCAACCGCCAUAAAGUGAACUGAGAGACUAAUUUCAACCAUAUCAUUAAUGUUGAGACUAAAAACUAUGGAUUCUUUUUAGGGGAAUCAAAUCAAAUUCACUUUUAUUUUAAGGACAAAAAAUAUAUUUAACCCAUUACUUAGUUUUAUAAAUUAGGAUUAAUUAAUUAUUUACAAUAAGUUUUGGAUUAUUAUAUAUGAAUUAUGAAGUUAUUACUUUAGUACUUGUUCACAGAAAGUCCAGAGGACAUAGCUUAGCUAGUCGAGCGCUUCACUUUGUACAUAUCUUCAAUUAACUUAAGCGCUCCUUAUAUGACAAGAGCCUUAUUAAUUACAGUAAUGGUGGAGGAGGCUAAUACACGAAUGACAUUAUGGUGAGUCAUGCGAUCCCGAGUCAUAAAUUUGGUUCACUGUGAUGAUUAGUCCAUAACAGUCUAAUACUCGACUUAUUGAUAGAAAAAUAAGUGAUUGGUCUUUCUUUUCUCUAUGCCCAUAAGAUGAGAAUAUUCGAAGUUCAUAGCGUCGAAUGUCCUUAUCCAUCCUAACAUGUAUAGAAACACAACAUGGGAGGUACUGCUCUGCUCUCGCACCUUUUCAAAAUCCAAUUUGCAAAUUAUGAAGAGAUAUUCACCAUUUAAUAAAUAUAUAUACUUUAUUGGUGAAAAAGUAUUUCUGAAUAGAUUAAAAGGUGAAAGUUCUUUCUAUGAAUUGACAUUUUCAUUCACGGAAGAAGUUGCUCUCGUCUAGAGCAAAUAAGUUGUUGUCGGCAAUGUGUUGCACUUACUUUAAUACAUAGCCUAUAUCUACAAGUUUCAUCGUCACACAAUAACCUCGACAUGAUUCAUUUUGCUAUAUACAAGUUUGGUCAUCACAUUGUAAUCUAGGUAUUAUUCAUUUUGCUUUUUAUUGCUCUUGUUUACUUAAAUUGUGUUUCUGAUCGAUUCAUGACUUAACAACUAUGAUAACAAUCUCCUCGAGACUCGGAUAUCAUAUUGAGUGAGUAUACAUUUUCUAACAAAUUAUUAUUCAUACAUUCUGCUCAAAGAUUGAACCAUAUACUAAAUGUUUAAGGAGAUCAGAUAUUUAUCAGUUAUGCUAGAUCUUAUUAGUGUAAAACUAGUAAUUUAUACACACAUUAAUUAGUCACGAAGUUUUGAUAUAAGAUCAAUUUUCAUGAUUGAGAUAAGUACUUGAAUCUUAGUCCUUAGAUCAUCGUAUCUAUAAAGAAAAUCACAAGAUUGGGCUAUUGAUGUCAAAAAACUGAUUAGUUUUUUAAGGGUACGUGCAGGUCCAGAACCAAAAAGAAAAGGAAGCUUCUGUAGAACCAUUUAUUCUCACACCAACAACAGCCGUAAGUACAUGUCAACAUUAACUUCUCCUAGUCUUAUCUAUGCCUCACUUUUUUUUGUUAAUUUUUUUUAAGGCGCUGAAUUGAUGUCGGCUACCAUUGAUGUCCGGUCUAAUUAGAUAGGGAAAAUUGCUGAUUUUAAACAACACUUAUGAUAAAUUUACAUUUACAUGACCUAGUUUGGAAGAGUUUAUUUGAGCUUAUCUGAUAGCAUAAGCUUUUAUGCCAGUGUUUGAGAGAACUUAUGCAAACAGCUUAUGACCUACCAUAAGCUGUUUUGAGCUUAUUUUCAUAAGUUAUUCAGGAUAGCUUAUGAAAAACAGUUUAUGCUUAUAUAUAAUUUAUUUUCAAUUUAUUUCAGUAAAAUUUUUAAAAUGGCUUGUGAAUAAGCACUUAUGUCAUUUUUCCUACGCGCUUAAUUAAGUUGUUUUCCUAAACGGGGUCAAUCCUAAGAUGACGAUUGAAGGUUCAAACUUCAAACUGAGUAAUGAUUCAUUUACACUUUAUUUUUUCUUCAAUAUUAUUUUCAUAUUUUUCUUUCUAUUUUUUUUUCUUUAUUUCCUAUAACAUCAUAUAUCAUAUCAAUCAUUUUUUUACAGCCAAGGCAUUUAUUCUGCUUCGGGAGCCUACUCUUGGCUCAUUAACGCGAAUGCACAGCUGUCUCUCACUGGUUUGGAUACUUGGCGCUGGAUUUGGAAGAUUAAGGUUCCGGAGAAAAUUCGUGUCUUCAUUUGGUUGUGUAUGCACGAUGCAAUUCAGGUUAACAACUUGAGGUUUCGUUGCAAGCUUGCUUCCUCACCCUCGUGCUCGCGGUGUCAACAUUCUAUGGAGGAUAUUUUACAUUGUUUGCGGGACUGCAGGUUUGCUAGGGAAAUUUGGAAUAGAUUGAAUGCUCUCACGUGGCCUCGGUUUCUAGUUGGGAGUGUCCAGGCUUGGAUCAAAUACCAGGUGUGUGGUCCUCAUGGUUCCUUGUUUGCUACAGCUCUUUGGGGAAUUUGGCGGUGGCGUAACAAUGCAAUCUUGGGUGAUAAGUCUUGGAACGCUAUUAGUACUGUGAAUUGGAUUUCUACAGAGCAUCAUGACUAUUCCUCCUUUCUUUCUAGUGAUCUGUCCAUGACAUUGGGCAUGGGUGGAGGUGCGUUUUGGAGAGCUCCUCCCGCAGGUGAAUUCAAGCUCAACACUGAUGGUGCCUUUGACUUGACCGGAGCCAGGAUGGGUAUGGGGGNNNNNNNNNNNNNNNNNNNNNNNNNNNNNNNNNNNNNNNNNNNNNNNNNNNNNNNNNNNNNNNNNNNNNNNNNNNNNNNNNNNNNNNNNNNNNNNNNNNNNNNNNNNNNNNNNNNNNNNNNNNNNNNNNNNNNNNNGGGACUUGUUAGCCUUGUAGUUUCUUUCUGUCGUAAUCAAGUGAGGGCAUGUGCCCUCAUGGUGCUACAUGCAUCCGUCACUGCUUGGUUUUAGUGGCAAUUCAACCGCCAUAAAGUGAACUGAGAGACUAAUUUCAACCAUAUCAUUAAUGUUGAGACUAAAAACUAUGGAUUCUUUUUAGGGGAAUCAAAUCAAAUUCACUUUUAUUUUAAGGACAAAAAAUAUAUUUAACCCAUUACUUAGUUUUAUAAAUUAGGAUUAAUUAAUUAUUUACAAUAAGUUUUGGAUUAUUAUAUAUGAAUUAUGAAGUUAUUACUUUAGUACUUGUUCACAGAAAGUCCAGAGGACAUAGCUUAGCUAGUCGAGCGCUUCACUUUGUACAUAUCUUCAAUUAACUUAAGCGCUCCUUAUAUGACAAGAGCCUUAUUAAUUACAGUAAUGGUGGAGGAGGCUAAUACACGAAUGACAUUAUGGUGAGUCAUGCGAUCCCGAGUCAUAAAUUUGGUUCACUGUGAUGAUUAGUCCAUAACAGUCUAAUACUCGACUUAUUGAUAGAAAAAUAAGUGAUUGGUCUUUCUUUUCUCUAUGCCCAUAAGAUGAGAAUAUUCGAAGUUCAUAGCGUCGAAUGUCCUUAUCCAUCCUAACAUGUAUAGAAACACAACAUGGGAGGUACUGCUCUGCUCUCGCACCUUUUCAAAAUCCAAUUUGCAAAUUAUGAAGAGAUAUUCACCAUUUAAUAAAUAUAUAUACUUUAUUGGUGAAAAAGUAUUUCUGAAUAGAUUAAAAGGUGAAAGUUCUUUCUAUGAAUUGACAUUUUCAUUCACGGAAGAAGUUGCUCUCGUCUAGAGCAAAUAAGUUGUUGUCGGCAAUGUGUUGCACUUACUUUAAUACAUAGCCUAUAUCUACAAGUUUCAUCGUCACACAAUAACCUCGACAUGAUUCAUUUUGCUAUAUACAAGUUUGGUCAUCACAUUGUAAUCUAGGUAUUAUUCAUUUUGCUUUUUAUUGCUCUUGUUUACUUAAAUUGUGUUUCUGAUCGAUUCAUGACUUAACAACUAUGAUAACAAUCUCCUCGAGACUCGGAUAUCAUAUUGAGUGAGUAUACAUUUUCUAACAAAUUAUUAUUCAUACAUUCUGCUCAAAGAUUGAACCAUAUACUAAAUGUUUAAGGAGAUCAGAUAUUUAUCAGUUAUGCUAGAUCUUAUUAGUGUAAAACUAGUAAUUUAUACACACAUUAAUUAGUCACGAAGUUUUGAUAUAAGAUCAAUUUUCAUGAUUGAGAUAAGUACUUGAAUCUUAGUCCUUAGAUCAUCGUAUCUAUAAAGAAAAUCACAAGAUUGGGCUAUUGAUGUCAAAAAACUGAUUAGUUUUUUAAGGGUACGUGCAGGUCCAGAACCAAAAAGAAAAGGAAGCUUCUGUAGAACCAUUUAUUCUCACACCAACAACAGCCGUAAGUACAUGUCAACAUUAACUUCUCCUAGUCUUAUCUAUGCCUCACUUUUUUUUGUUAAUUUUUUUUAAGGCGCUGAAUUGAUGUCGGCUACCAUUGAUGUCCGGUCUAAUUAGAUAGGGAAAAUUGCUGAUUUUAAACAACACUUAUGAUAAAUUUACAUUUACAUGACCUAGUUUGGAAGAGUUUAUUUGAGCUUAUCUGAUAGCAUAAGCUUUUAUGCCAGUGUUUGAGAGAACUUAUGCAAACAGCUUAUGACCUACCAUAAGCUGUUUUUCUACUGUCCUAUAGAGUAUCUUGAGGCUCCGCCUCAGCAGUUAGCUCCCAUCUUGGCUAGGGACUUGUUAGCCUUGUAGUUUCUUUCUGUCGUUUUUUAAUUUUCCGAUGUACCAAAAAAAAAAAAUAUCAAUCAUUUUUUUAUUCUCUUCCUAUUUACUCAAGGUGAUGAUGAAUAACAUAUGUAAACCAAACAUUAUUCAGUUCAAACCUAAAAUUUGUGCGAUAUGAGAUUCUAUCGUAUUCUACUCAAUUAAUCCUCUUAAGUUUUCCAUGCCUCACUUUGAUGAACGUACGGGAGCGAGUAAAAGUUCCUAUUCUUUUCACUUUUCAAGUAGUAAACAAACUGAAGAUCGACCAAAUGAAACACAAGCUUUGAAGUGAGAAAGUGAAGAAAGAAAAGGCAACCUAUGAUUGAAGAAUCUUCAUGUCUUCAUAUUAUGAGAUGAGAGAGAAAACACUUGACUCUUGCUUCACGACCAUGUCUUUCCUGCACAUGUAUAUACUUCUGGCCUACGCGCGUGAUUGGGUACGUAGCUAGGACCCUAUAGUACUGUUCAUCCUUCAUUCAUUAGCUAGCUAGCUCAUAAAUUUUCAAGAGAAGCUAGGCAAACCCAUAGUAUGGCUUUAUCAUAAAUAAAUAAAUACUCACAUACUGUAUAUAUCUUCCUUAAAUCUUUGGUGACUCCAGGAUUCAAUUAUAUAACAGUAGUAGUACUCUCCUCAUGUAAUUAAGAAUUAGCUACUUGUUGUGAUCAAUCCUUAUCCUUGAGCAAGCUAGCUUCACAACUCUACUAACAUCAAUCUUCAAUGAUUGUAAGAUUAAUUAUUAGGACCAAAGAAGCCUAUACAAGCUUCAGCUUUCAGUUCUUUCAAGUUUCAACAAUAACCCCAUAUCAGUUUUGGAGCAUACAACAAAUUAAAUAGACUUGGCAGAGUGAAAACAACAGUAUCCCACCCCACGCGUCUUCACUUGCGUCUGGGAAAAAUACUUAAUUAUCCAUCAUACACAAUCUUCACUUGUAUUUAAACACCAAUUCCCUUGCACCUAAAUUUCUAUCUCAAUACCACUAUCCCCAACACAACACAACACAAGCAGUUCUACUAAGCAGGCACUUAUAAUUCCUUGCUAAGUAAACCAACCAAAACCACAUGAAGAACAUCCCUUUGCUUCUCCUCCUCCUCACUCUCCUAGCCACGGCAGAAGCCGGCGGCGGAAAGUGGCAGCUCCUCCAACAAACCAUCGGCAUUGUCGGCAUGCACAUGCAGCUACUCCACAAUGACCGUGUCAUCAUCUUUGACCGCACCGACUUCGGUUUCUCCAACCUCUCCUUACCCAAAGGUAUGUGCCGCCACAACCUGCAAGAACUUGCGGUCAAN
rnacentral:lncRNA from 1 species